GCCAAGUUAGAGAGCAUCAAUCAAAUGUCGACUAGAACCCCUCCUGGUUCUGUACCUCGGGGUGUAAACUUCCUGUCAGUUGACAAAGCAGUAGAAGAUAGAUCACAUCCUAUUGAGUGUUACAGUGCUUCAUCACUCAUUCAGAGACAAAGUGCACCAAAUACAACUUCCAGCAAAAUGCCGUUUAGACAGUUGAGUUCUAUAUUUCCAGCUGGGCAGUCCUUAAUCCAGUCUGCACAAAAGUGCAAUGCAGAAAUUGCCAGCUCCCCGAAGGCACCGUUCCUUGCAAAUACACCAAGCUCGAUUCAAAAGGCUCUUCAGUCAACUUUAGCAUUUGCGGCCAAGUUUGACUUGGGAGUCAAGUGUGGAAUGUCCAAUGGUUCCCGACAUUAGUUCCAUAAUCAAUGCUAAGGCUGGAAGUUCAAAGAAUAGGUGAAGGAAUUUAACGGCCUUCAAUUGUGGUCAUGAAAGCAUGCUCAUGCUUAAUAUGUUAUGAAGGCAGUAUGUUUGAGUAAUGAAGUUGUCAGUUGGUUUUUCCCUUACCCUUUCAUAUGAGAAAUGUGUUUAUUUAAAAACCAUAAAACAACAAAAACAUUCUCUCGUCUUGAA
rnacentral:misc_RNA from 1 species